UCCCCUUCUCUCCCCUUCCUCUCCUCUGGUUCAACCUAACUUCAUUUCCUCGGUUCUCUCUCUUCCCCUCUCUGGUUUCUCUCCUUCCCCUCUCUGUUUCUUCUUUGGGCGCGAAAUUCAAACUUCCCGCACACACCGUACUGUUGUUCCCCCACCGCCGCAUCGCCGCAGAUGUUCCCCACCGCUCACCGCUGUUGUUCCUCCACCGUUGCGUCCCUGCUGUUCCACACCGCCGCAUCGCUCCUCCUUGUAUCUUAUAGGAGGACACCCCGUACAUCAAUCAUUAGCUUUCUUAAAUUUGUUCGAAGAAUUUCAGCGGGAAUGGGAGAUGCACUAAGAAGUUCAGGAGGACAUCCAGUAAUGCCGAGAAAUCAAGAAACGAAAAGAAGAUAGAUCCGGAAAAGCCACGGCAAGAAACUUUCAGAGAAGGUAUGUUGGUAGAGGUCAAAAGUGAUGAAGAUGGUUACCAUAGAUCCUGGUACGGAGCCACUAUUAUCAGAUUGUUAGGAAUUAAUGGAUAAGUUCCUGGUAGAAUAUGACAGUCUGAAAACUAAUGAUGAGAACAACCUUUAAGAUAAGAAGUGUCUUCUACUGAUGUUAGAUCUUUGCCUCGUAAUCUGCACCAUGGUCAUUAUAAGCGUCUGGAUGAAGUAGAUGUGUGGUGUGCUGGUGGGUGGUGGAUAGGUGAAAUCUACAAAGUUCUGAAUAGAAAGAAGUACAUUGUUCAAUUUGCUUUUACAAGUGAUAAACGAGAAGUUGAUCAUUCGAGUUUGAGAUCUCACCAAGAUUGGAUUCACAGAAAAUGGAUAACCUCCAACGUAGUGCAAAAAGGUGACAUUUCUACGAGCUGUUAACCAGCAGCUUGCUCUAGAAUUCCGGGAUGCCCAGACUGUGCAGCACACUGUUCACCAGCAGUUUUCGAUAUGCUCCUCUACGACCAUUUUCGACUUAGUGAUAUUAAGAUGAUUUGUGUAUUUUCCUGCAUAAGAAGUAUGGCAACUUUCAGUAGAUUUCACCAUUUAGGACGAGACAGAAUGGGCGGGCACGAGCGGUCUAGUGUCCGAGCCGAUUGAUUCAUAUGUAAAUACUAUGGUUUUAAAUGUAGGUAUUGGAAAAAAUGUCAAAGAGAAAGUCUGUGUUCAUACUAGCUGUGACAUACGCAGCAUCGCAAGCCAAUUGGUUAACAUGUGGAUUGAGGUUUUCCGUAAGGAGAAGACUACUAAUGGUGGCUUGAAGUUAUUGAGACACAUGACAAAUUCAGCAUUCUGCAGCUGGAAAUAAGGUCAAUCCGAGUUCAAAGAAGCUAGCUGUAAAGCAAGUGAAACUGGAAACUGGGUUUGGCUCAAAAAUAGAUGCUCAAUCAUCAGCAUCACAAGUUUCAAACGGCAGACCAGGUAACAAGUUAGAGGAAGAUGGGAACGUUCCGAAGAAGAACAAGCUGCUCUUGCAGUUGCAGAUGUUGCUCGUGCUGCUGCUGUAGCGGCUGCUGAGGUAUUCAAUAAUCCGAGGGAGCGGCCUUUCACAUUUGAGGAGAUAGAUGAAGUUCGAGAAAUGUUGGCAAACUUCAUUAGUAGUGAUUGUCUUUGAUAUUUUCUUGUACUGAAUCUUAAAUGAUGGAUGCUAAUUUUUCAUAUAAUUGUAAUGUGAACGACUUUUAAAUUUACAAUUAUAUACUAUUUAUUAUAAUUAUCUAUUAUGUGA